UACCCCCAGGUUAAGAAGCAAUAUAAUAUCAAUUGAAUCAAUUACGUCAACAGUUAUAUACCUGACGACAAAAUUAGACAAUUGAUGGUAAGCUAGAGAGAGAGUGCGGGCUCCAUCAUCAUGAGAAUAAAGUUAACUGUGGAUUACCAUCAAUUGAAGACCCGCAGAUGGGUAGCACACAACUCAAGUGAUGUAGAAUGUUUUAUACUUAAAGUGUAGUUUAUAUACCUCACUCAAUAUAAAUACCCACACUCACACACACAGUAAAACUUCUCGGCGAUGAGGUAGGUGAGGAAGACUGUCGCUGUUGCUCCAUUCUUCCGAGUAAUAUACGGGUAUAACGGUGUGGGAAUCCCUCAAUUAAACAGUAAUUGUUUAAUUGAGAUACUCACCGCCGGUCCUAAUGUGCCGUACUGAGAAAAAGUGUCAACUGCUUGCUGUGUAAACUGUGUAUCGCAGGGGUGAGGUAAAUUAUGUGCCCGAGCCAAUUAUAGUAAUAAAUGAGAUCACUAACGAAAAUAUAUAUUAUAUGACAUGAUGGUAUUCUUAAUACGAAGCUUCUGGUACAAAAUUUUCCAUCAUGCUAUUAUAUUGAUUAUAAUCAAUAAAACAAACGUAUUUAUCAAGAUCAGCAUCACCUGGAAAGCCAAAAUCCGGGUAAAAAUUUCAACCCACCCUUAAAUUUAACAGGGGGGCUCUUUAACGCAUGCAGCCCUGCUCUAAUGUACAAUGCAUAGGUAUACAUAUUUUAUAUACACCAUAAUCUACCUUUCUUUG